CGCGCGUGUGCAGGCGUGACGGGCGGCGAGGGGAGGGCGCCGUGCGCCGGCGGCGGAAGGGGUGAGAUGUCGCUGCGCGUCGUGAAGGGGCUGGUGCUGCUGGAGGCGGCGGGUCUGCUCGGCGCCGUCCUGCUCUACCGCGCCAUGGACCGCAGCCGAGAUUUCAGAUAUACAAUGCAGAAGAGGUUUCCAUCAAUCCUGGAAGUGUAUUACAAAUCCAAUGAGUGGUCUGGAAUUCACGGUAUAAGGGAGAAUGACCAAAUGGCAUGGUUAAGCAGCAAGAACUGAACCCUCUGUGCCUGAACUGUUUCUUCUUUUUGAUGAUGCUUUUCACAUCCCUAUUGUGAAGCCACUUGUCACGCUCUAUUUCCCACUGGAUCUGUUUGACAUCUGUAAGAGAAAAGGUGAGAGAUAAGGAGCUGAUGGACACCUCUGACCAUGAUGUGGAAUGCAGAUGAAUCAUGUAAAAGCUAAAGCUUGGCCACUGUGUUUAUUAAUGUUAAUAAAAUGCAAGCUGCCAAUUUAUAUUUUAUUUUA